AUUGAACGCUGGCGGCAUGCUUUACACAUGCAAGUCGAACGGCAGCGCGGGCUUCGGCCUGGCGGCGAGUGGCGAACGGGUGAGUAAUGCAUCGGAACGUGCCCAGUAGUGGGGGAUAGCCCGGCGAAAGCCGGAUUAAUACCGCAUACGACCUGAGGGUGAAAGCGGGGGACCGAAAGGCCUCGCGCUAUUGGAGCCGCCGAUGUCGGAUUAGCUAGUUUGUUGGGUAAAGGCUUACCAAGGCGACGAUCCGUAGCUGGUCUGAGAGGACGACCAGCCACACUGGGACUGAGACACGGCCCAGACUCCUACGGGAGGCAGCAGUGGGGAAUUUUGGACAAUGGGGGCAACCCUGAUCCAGCCAUGCCGCGUGCGGGAAGAAGGCCUUCGGGUUGUAAACCGCUUUUGUUCGGGAAGAAAUCCUCUGGGCUAAUACCCCGGGGGGAUGACGGUACCGGAAGAAUAAGCACCGGCUAACUACGUG
rnacentral:rRNA from 1 species